rnacentral:rRNA from 1 species
UGGGGAAUAUUGCACAAUGGGCGCAAGCCUGAUGCAGCCAUGCCGCGUGUGUGAAGAAGGCCUUCGGGUUGUAAAGCACUUUUGUCCGGAAAGAAAUCCUUGGCUCUAAUACAGUCGGGGGAUGACGGUACCGGAAGAAUAAGCACCGGCUAACUACGUGCCAGCAGCCGCGGUAAUACGUAGGGUGCAAGCGUUAAUCGGAAUUACUGGGCGUAAAGCGUGCGCAGGCGGUUUGCUAAGACCGAUGUGAAAUCCCCGGGCUCAACCUGGGAACUGCAUUGGUGACUGGCAGGCUAGAGUAUGGCAGAGGGGGGUAGAAUUCCACGUGUAGCAGUGAAAUGCGUAGAGAUGUGGAGGAAUACCGAUGGCGAAGGCAGCCCCCUGGGCCAAUACUGACGCUCAUGCACGAAAGCGUGGGGAGCAAACAGGAUUAGAUACCCCUGGUAGUCCACGCCCUAAACGAUGUCAACUAGUUGUUGGGGAUUCAUUUCCUUAGUAACGUAGCUAACGCGUGAAGUUGGACCGCCUGGGGAGUACGGUCGCAAGAUUAAAACUCAAAGGAAUUGACGGGGUCAUAGCUGUUUCCUG